rnacentral:lncRNA from 1 species
GGCCUGCUUUGGAGGAGUUGCCCCUGACUUUGAAUUUGGGAGACACGAUGCCCCUAGCUAAUGCUUCUUUUUGAAAGCUAGGCCCAUCAAACUUGGGGUGCCCAUCACAUUUUUCUUCACCAGAGCCGGCUUCUUCUUCUUCGGCUCAUCAUCAUGCCACCAGAUAAGGAUGGUCUUCGACUCCAUGUCCUUCAUCCUGUCGCUAUCUUUUCUGUUAACCAGAGGGGUUUUGCUCACAUCUGCAUUGAUCGGUACCGGGUGCUGGAUCGAUAUAUUUCAGAUCCACUAGUAUCAGUUCCUCAUCGUCACCCAGAAAAUCAUCAAUUGCUCCGACCGCACCAAGUUUUCUCCCAAUCUCCUCAUAGAUCUCAUUUAGCCAGAAAUGAGUAGGAAUACCCUUGACCGAGAUCCAUAAUUCAUGGUAUUUGGAAAAGUAUCACCAACAUGAGGUUUCCGCUCUGAAGGACCAGUAAUUGAAAUGGCAGGGACGCUUGUUCAAAACCUUCCGGAGGUCAUCCUCAUAGUUAAAAUCAAACUGGAAUCUGGAGUUUCCAAGUUCCAUACCUUGGACCCGCCCU